AUAAUGAAAAGGAGCAAGCUGAGCAGGGUAAAUUACAAAAUGAAAAUUUUGAGGAGAAAAAGAGCACCAGGAAGUGGAAGAGAGCUAAAUUCUGUGUUCCCGGGAGAUAAACAGAUUAAGAAAUGAGAAUAAAGGAAUAAAGGAUUGGUGAUCCCAGGGCAAGAUUCCACCCAGGUAAAUUUCCAGUUUUUUGAAAAGGAACUGAAGAAAAGCUUAGAGCCAGGUUUGGUGGUACAUACCCUUAAUCCCAGCACUCACAAGGCAGAGGCUGGCAGAUCUAUGAGUAUGAGGUCAGUCUGAUAUGCAUUAUGAUACAGCUGUAAAACUUUGGGGGACAGGGAAGGGACUGUGGUGGUUUAAAAGAAAAUGGCCCCCAAAGGGAGUGGCACUAUUAGGAGGUGUGGCCUGGCCUUGUUGGAGGAAGUGUGUCACUGGCGGGUUGGGCUUUGAGGUCUCUUGCUCAAGCUUCCCUCAGUGUGACUGCCAGUUGACUUCCUGUUGCCUGUAAGAUGUAGUAGCACUCUUAGCUACAGUGCCACAUCUGCCUAUAUGUAAGGGAGCCACCCCAAUGAAAUGUUUAUGAGUUUCUAUGGUCAUGGUGUCUCUUUAUAACAAUAGUAACCCUAACUAAGGCAGAGUCUAUGAAGAACAUAGAUCACUUAUGUAGGGCAUGCAGUCUAUGCUUCACACAGUCAUGUUUAAUAACUGGAAAAAAAUUAGAUGCUGUGGAAAUGGAUUAGUAUGUUAAUUGCAAUUGUGCUAAAAAUAGUUAUUUGAUUUCUUCAAGAUUGAAAAUUUCCUCAUAUGUUCAGUAUUGCCUAUCAAUAGAGUUGACAUACCUGGAUGAGUAUAUGUCUAAAUUAAAAGAAUCUUUUCAUUUUGUUUUGUAAUCAUCAACAGAACACAGGAUCAUGAGCAUAAGGUAAACACGUUUAUGGGUUGUUAUUAGAGCUUGGGACCAGGCAUGUGACUUUGGUGCACCUGCUUUCUUAUGAAGGUCACAGUGGGAUUAAAUGGGUCCACUCAAGCUUAAAGCAGUGACUUAAAGUGCCAGUGUGUUGACAGGUUCAACUUUAGUCUGUAGAAUCUGUAAGAAAAAAGUCCCCUGCCUCCUCAUUCCUGAAUAUUACUGAGUUGGCCCUGGGAUAUGGCCUUCUUGGUUUACAGCCUCCUGAAGAUAGAAUGAAUUUCCAUCCUAGUUCCUCUCACCCGGAAGUGGCCUAUUGGAAGAAGACUCUGGCCUUGGGAACCACAGAACCUUUGACCUCCAACUACCUGGAAUCUAAGCUACCACUGGAGAGACUCCGAAAGAAUGAGCCUCCAUGCAGGAAGAGAUUAGGUGGGAGAGCCAGACUGAGAGAACUUGGGGAAGAAGAAGAAGAAGCAGAAAAAGAAGAAGAAGGAGGAGAAGUAAGAGGAGGAGGAGGAGGAGGAGGAGGAGGAGGAGGAGGAGGAAGAAAGAGUGGAGCCACCAGCCAGAUGCAGAGGAAGGAUACAUAGAAAAUGAGUUUUCUCUUCAGAAACUCAGCCCUCUUCCAAGAGCUGGAAACCAGGCCAACCUGGCUGCAGGGCAGAGGCUGGAGUGGCCCUAUCAAUCACACUGCAGCUUGGCUCGCUUAAGCCGUCCAGACCCACAAUCUCUCACCGCCGAUUCUCCUCAGUUCCCAAAACAACCAUGAACUUCAGUGACUUGUUUUGUUUCCCGAGCAUAGACUAGCAGCAAUGGCAAAGGGAAGAGGCUGAGCGAUGGCGGAUCUUUCAGAGGUUACCAUCCAGGAAGCAAAUUUGUACACCUGCCUGGCUCCUUCUGCCUUGGAAUGACAUAAUUGUCUGGAAGAGUGCCAGGACAGAUUGGAAAAGGAACUACAAAGCCGGAACACCACUGGCACGGGCCAGCAAUCCAGAGGUGUGUGCUGUGUGCAGAGCUUCUCCAGAGAAAACCUGAACUCCAAAGUCUGCUUGUAACAAUGAUUGCUGUCACAUUCAUCAUAGGAACACAUAGAUAUUAGUGCUGGGGUUGGAACUGGCUUGUUUUCAUCACCCAACAGUCUCUGGAUUUCAAGUUGUCUAAUGUUCUAUAAAUCCCAAGAUUCAUGAAAAUAAAGAAGUUGAGAAAGUCUCUACAAAGGACUUUUAAAAUGAUUUAUUUUUCAUUUACAUGUUUGUGUGUGUCUGUAUGAGUGCAUACCAUGUGUGUGGGGG
ensembl:lncRNA